AUUCUUGUGAUAGUGAAUAACUCUCACGAGAUCUGAUGGUUUAUCAGGUGUUUCUGCUUUUUCAUCUUUCUCAUUUUUCUCUUGCCGCUGCCAUGUAAGAUGUGCCUUUCACCUCUCACCAUGAUUCUGAGUCCUCCCCAGCCAUGUGGAACUGUCUUUUAUUGGGUACUGGUUCUUAACUCUGGACUUCUCUACAAGUUUUGUCAAACUAUCAAAUGCAGAGCAAGUUGGAGGCCUGCCAGAGCACCCAGAGGAUGGAAUGAAGCAACAGGGAGGCAUCAGGAAAGGAGAACACAGAUGGAGACAGAGGUGGGAGGCAUAAGCGCCACCUACUGGCACAGUCUUGCACUUGCACAGAUAGGAGGGCUGAAAAGUUGGUCAUGGAUGGAAAUAACUGCUCGUUUCACAAAUGAGGAGGCAGAAAAUUCCACUUAAUUUUACUACUAGAAUGCUCAGCAGAAAAAAAAAAAAAAAAACUUGGAUUACUGAGCUACAGAACACCCAGACUCAUAGCACUGGGACUUCCAGGUCUUACCUUAUGAGUGGUUCACAACGCUGACAAAGGGGACAAUAUCCAUUAGCCAUUAUCUUGUUGCGUAUGAAUAACCCUCUCUUACAAAAAAAUAAAGAUAGAUAUGUUC